rnacentral:rRNA from 1 species
GACGAACGCUGGCGGCGUGCUUAACACAUGCAAGUCGAACGAUAAAGCUGGAGCUUGCUCUAGCGGAUUAGUGGCGAACGGGUGAGUAACACGUGAGCAAUCUGCCCUUGACUCUGGGAUAACUGCGGGAAACUGUAGCUAAUACCGGAUACUUUCACCGGGGGGCAUCCUCUGGUGAUGAAAGAAUUUCGGUCAAGGAUGAGCUCGCGGCCUAUCAGCUUGUUGGUGAGGUAACGGCUCACCAAGGCGACGACGGGUAACCGGCCUGAGAGGGUGACCGGUCACAGUGGGACUGAGACACGGCCCAGAAUCCUACGGGAGGCAGCAGUGGGGAAUAUUGCACAAUGGGCGCAAGCCUGAUGCAGCAACGCCGCGUGAGGGAUGAAGGCCUUCGGGUUGUAAACCUCUUUUAGCAGGGAAGAAGCGAAAGUGACGGUACCUGCAGAAAAAGCACCGGCUAACUACGUGCCAGCCGCCGCAGUAA